rnacentral:rRNA from 1 species
CUUGCUUUCUUUGCUGGCGACCGGCGCACGGGUGAGUAACACGUAUCCAACCUGCCCUUUACUCGGGGAUAGCCUUUCGAAAGAAAGAUUAAUACCCGAUAGCAUAAUGAUUCCGCAUGGUUUCAUUAUUAAAGGAUUCCGGUAAAGGAUGGGGAUGCGUUCCAUUAGGUUGUUGGUGAGGUAACGGCUCACCAAGCCUUCGAUGGAUAGGGGUUCUGAGAGGAAGGUCCCCCACAUUGGAACCGAGACACGGUCCAAACUCCUACGGGAGGCAGCAUG